rnacentral:rRNA from 1 species
UACGAAGGGGGCGAGCGUUGUUCGGAUUUACUGGGCGUAAAGGGCGCGCAGGCGGCUAGUUUUGUCGAGUGUGAAAGCCCCGGGCUUAACCUGGGAACUGCGCUCGAAACGGGCUGGCUAGAGAUCGGGAGAGGAGAGUGGAAUUCCCAGUGUAGAGGUGAAAUUCGUAGAUAUUGGGAAGAACACCAGUGGCGAAGGCGGCUCACUGGACCGGUAUUGACGCUGAGGUGCGAAAGCGUGGGAGCAACAGG